rnacentral:ncRNA from 1 species
AUAAAUACAAGGAAGAGAAGAGUAGCAUUGUAAUGUUCUUGCAGAGAGCCCGGUUAGGUGAAAGCGGGCAGGGCGGACCAGUGUGAAGCAAGUCUUGGAGUAGCGCAUGGGAUUUCGAAAGAGUGAUCAUGCGACGGGCUCUCCCGUUAUAGAGAAGCAGUAUAAGCCCGUAACGGCCGUACUGAUUGAGGCUAUGGAUAGUAAUAUCCUGGUGAAAUAGGGUGGCAACACGUGUCGAUUAUUCGAAUCCGUCCCUAAG